rnacentral:rRNA from 1 species
AGUCAACAUGCCCAGGGGACGUGAAUAACCUCGGGAAACUGGGGAUAAACCGCGAUAGGUCAUCACUUCUGGAAUGGGUAAUGACUUAAAUCUAUAUGGCCCCUGGAUUGGACUGCGGCCGAUCAGGCUGUUGGUGAGGUAAUGGCCCACCAAACCUGUAACCGGUACGGGCUCUGAGAGGAGGAGCCCGGAGAUGGGCACUGAGACAAGGGCCCAGGCCCUAUGGGGCGCAGCAGGCGCGAAACCUCUGCAAUAGGCGAAAGCUUGACAGGGUUACUCUGAGUGAUUUCCGUUAAGGAGAUCUUUUGGCACCUCUAAAAAUGGUGCAGAAUAAGGGGUGGGCAAGUCUGGUGUCAGCCGCCGCGGUAAUACCAGCACCCCGAGUGGUCGGGACGUUUAUUGGGCCUAAAGCAUCCGUAGCCGGUUCUACAAGUCUUCCGUUAAAUCCACCUGCUUAACAGAUGGGCUGCGGAAGAUACUAUAGAGCUAGGAGGCGGGAGAGGCAAGCGGUACUCGAUGGGUAGGGGUAAAAUCCGUUGAUCCAUUGAAGACCACCAGUGGCGAAGGCGGCUUGCCAGAACGCGCUCGACGGUGAGGGAUGAAAGCUGGGGGAGCAAACCGGAUUAGAUACCCGGGUAGUCCCAGCUGUAAACGAUGCAGACUCGGUGAUGAGUUGGC